AUACGUAGGGGGCGAGCGUUGUCCGGAAUGAUUGGGCGUAAAGGGCGCGUAGGCGGCCCGGUAAGUCUGGAGUGAAAGUCCUGUUUUUAAGAUGGGAAUUGCUUCGGAUACUGUCGGGCUUGAGUGCAGGAGAGGUAAGUGGAAUCCCAGUGUAGCGGGGAAAUGCGUAGAGAUUGGGAGGAACACCAGUGGCGAAGGCGACUUACUGGACUGUAACUGACGCUGAGGCGCGAAAGUGUGGGGAGCAAACAGGAUUAGAUACCCUGGUAGUCCACACUGUAAACGAUGAAUGCUAGGUGUAGGGGGUAUCGACCCCUUCUGUGCCGCAGUCAACACAAUAAGCAUUCCGCCUGGGGAGUACGGCCGCAAGGUUGAAACUCAAAUGAAUUGGCGGGG
rnacentral:rRNA from 1 species